rnacentral:rRNA from 1 species
AUUGAACGCUGGCGGCAUGCUUUACACAUGCAAGUCGAACGGUAACAGGCCGCAAGGUGCUGACGAGUGGCGAACGGGUGAGUAAUGCAUCGGAACGUGCCCAGUCGUGGGGGAUAACUACUCGAAAGAGUAGCUAAUACCGCAUACGAUCUAUGGAUGAAAGCGGGGGACCGUAAGGCCUCGCGCGAUUGGAGCGGCCGAUGUCAGAUUAGGUAGUUGGUGGGGUAAAGGCUCACCAAGCCAACGAUCUGUAGCUGGUCUGAGGGGACGACCAGCCACACUGGGACGGGGACACGCCCCGGACCCCUAGGGGAGGCAGCGUGGGGAAAUUUUGGACAAGGGGGGCAAGCUUAUUCCACCAAGGCGGCGGGAAGAAAGAGGCCUUCGGGUUGGUAAACUGCUUUGUUACGAAACAAAAGGGCUCUGGUAAAUCCCCGGGGCAAAGAACGUAACCGAAGGAUUAGGCACCGCUAACCUAGUG